UACGGAGGGUGCAAGCGUUAUCCGGAAUCACUGGGUUUAAAGGGUGCGUAGGCGGCUUGAUAAGUCAGAGGUGAAAGCCUGGAGCUUAACUUCAGAACUGCCUUUGAUACUGUCGAGCUUGAAAGAGAUUGAGGUCAGCGGAACGUGACAUGUAGCGGUGAAAUGCAUAGAUAUGUCGCAGAACACCAAUGGCGAAGGCAGCUAACUGGGUCGUCUUUGACGCUGAGGCACGAAAGCGUGGGGAGCGAACAGG
rnacentral:rRNA from 1 species